GACGAACGCCGGCGGCGUGCCUAUACAUGCAAGUAGAACGCUGAAGAGAGGAGCUUGCUCUUCUUGGAUGAGUUGCGAACGGGUGAGUAACGCGUAGGUAACCUGCCUGGUAGCGGGGGAUAACUAUUGGAAACGAUAGCUAAUACCGCAUAAUAGCAGUUAUUGCAUGAUAACUGUUUGAAAGGUGCAAAUGCAUCACUACCAGAUGGACCUGCGUUGUAUUAGCUAGUUGGUGGGGUAACGGCUCACCAAGGCGACGAUACAUAGCCGACCUGAGAGGGUGAUCGGCCACACUGGGACUGAGACACGGCCCAGACUCCUACGGGAGGCAGCAGUAGGGAAUCUUCGGCAAUGGACGGAAGUCUGACCGAGCAAUGCCGCGUGAGUGAAGAAGGUUUUCGGAUCGUAAAGCUCUGUUGUAAGAGAAGAACGAGUGUGAGAGUGGAAAGUCACACU
rnacentral:rRNA from 1 species